UACGUAGGGUGCGAGCGUUGUCCGGAAUUACUGGGCGUAAAGAGCUUGUAGGUGGUUUGUCGCGUUGUUCGUGAAAUCUCACGGCUUAACUGUGAGCGUGCGGGCGAUACGGGCAGACUAGAGUACUGCAGGGGAGACUGGAAUUCCUGGUGUAGCGGUGGAAUGCGCAGAUAUCGGGAAGAACACCCGUGGCUAAGGCGGCUCUCUAGUACGGUACUGACGCUGAGACGCGAAAGCGUGGGGAGCGAACAGG
rnacentral:rRNA from 1 species